UACGUAGGGUGCGAGCGUUAAUCGGAAUUACUGGGCGUAAAGCGUGCGCAGGCGGUUCGUUAUGUCCGAUGUGAAAGCCCCCGAGCUCAACUUGGGAAUGGCAUUGGAAACUGGCGGGCUGGAGUGUGGCAGAGGGGGGGUGGGAUUCCACGUGUAGCAGUGAAAUGCGUAGAGAUGUGGAGGAACACCGAUGGCGAAGGCAGCCCCCCUGGGGCCAACACUGACGCUCAGGCACGAAAAGCGUGGGGGAGCAAACAGG
rnacentral:rRNA from 1 species